GAUGAACGCUGGCGGCGUGCCUAAUACAUGCAAGUCGAGCGAACGGACGAGAAGCUUGCUUCUCUGAUGUUAGCGGCGGACGGGUGAGUAACACGUGGAUAACCUACCUAUAAGACUGGGAUAACUUCGGGAAACCGGAGCUAAUACCGGAUGAUAUUUUGAACCGCAUGGUUCAAAAGUGAAAGACGGUCUUGCUGUCACUUAUAGAUGGAUCCGCGCUGCAUUAGCUAGUUGGUAAGGUAACGGCUUACCAAGGCAACGAUGCAUAGCCGACCUGAGAGGGUGAUCGGCCACACUGGAACUGAGACACGGUCCAGACUCCUACGGGAGGCAGCAGUAGGGAAUCUUCCGCAAUGGGCGAAAGCCUGACGGAGCAACGCCGCGUGAGUGAUGAAGGCCUUCGGAUCGUAAAACUCUGUUAUUAGGGAAGAACAUAUGUGUAAGUAACUGUGCACAUCUUGACGGUACCUAAUCAGAAAGCCACGGCUAACUACG
rnacentral:rRNA from 1 species